UUGUCAGCUAAGUGGCGCACGGGUGAGUAAUAUAUAGUUAAUCUGCCCCAAAGAAGAGAAUAAUUGUUGGAAGCGACUUGUAAUGCUCUAUAUGCCUUUAUCACAUAAGUGAGCAAGGGAAACAUUUAUGGCUUUGGGAUGAGACUGUACGGUAUCAGAUAGUUGGUGAGGUAAUGGCUCACCAAGUCUAUGACGCCUAACUGGUUUGAGAGGAUGAUCAGUCACACUGGAACUGAGACACGGUCCAGACUCCUACGGGAGGCAGCAGUGGGGAAUAUUGCACAAUGGACGAAAGUCUGAUGCAGCAACGCCGCGUGGAGGAUGACACAUUUCGGUGCGUAAACUCCUUUUAUAUGAGAAGAUAAUGACGGUAUCAUAUGAAUAAGCACCGGCUAACUUCGUGCCAGCAGCCGCGGUAAUACGAGGGGUGCAAGCGUUACUCGGAAUCACUGGGCGUAAAGAGAAUGUAGGCGGGUAAUUAAGUUGGAAGUGAAAUCCUAUGGCUCAACCAUAGAACUGCUUCCAAAACUGAUUAUCUAGAGUAUGGGAGAGGUAGAUGGAAUUUCUGGUGUAGGGGUAAAAUCCGUAGAGAUCAGAAGGAAUACCGAUUGCGAAGGCGAUCUACUGGAACAUUACUGACGCUCAGAUUCGAAAGCGUGGGGAGCAAACAGGAUUAGAUACCCUGGUAGUCCACGCCCUAAACGAUGCACACUAGUUGUUGCUAUACUAGAUAUAGCAGUAAUGCAGUUAACACAUUAAGUGUGCCGCCUGGGGAGUACGGUCGCAAGAUUAAAACUCAAAGGAAUAGACGGGGACCCGCACAAGCGGUGGAGCAUGUGGUUUAAUUUGACGAUACGCGAAGAACCUUACCUGGCCUUGACAUAGAUAGAACAUAACAGAGAUGUAUUGGUGCUAGUUUACUAGAACUAUUAUACAGGUGCCGCACGGCUGUCGUCAGCUCGUGUCGUGAGAUGUUGGGUUAAGUCCCGCAACGAGCGCAACCCACGUGAUUAGUUGCUAACAGUUCGGCUGAGAACUCUAAUCAGACUGCCUGGUAACCAGGAGGAAGGUGUGGACGACGUCAAGUCAUCAUGGCCCUUACGGCCAGGGCUACACACGUGCUACAAUGGGGUAUACAGAGAGCCGCAAUACCGC
rnacentral:rRNA from 1 species